GACGAACGCUGGCGGCGUGCUUAACACAUGCAAGUCGAGCGGAGCGGCGAACGGGUGAGUAACGCGUGAGUAACUGCCCCCCUCUCUGGGAUAACAGUUGGAAACGGCUGCUAAUACCGGAUAGUUGGGGAUGGGGCGCGGCCGAUCAGCUUGUUGGUGGGGUAUUGGCCUACCAAGGCGACGACGGGUAGCCGGCCUGAGGGGGCGACCGGCCACAUUAGGCUGAGAUACGGCCGAAACGCGUCCGGGAGGCAGCAGUGGGGAAUAUUGCACAAUGGGGGAAACCCUGAUGCAGCAACGCGCGGGCGGGAUGCCGGCUUUCGGGUUGUAAACCGCUUUGAGCCAUGACGCGGGAGUGGCAGAAGAAGCACCGGCUAACUACGUGCCAGCAGCCGCGGUAAUUC
rnacentral:rRNA from 1 species